ACCUAAUCACUGUCGGUAUCCAAAACCCGACCUGAUCUCUGUCGUUAAAGCCAGCAACGCACCCAUCUUGCCGCUCUUUCCGAUCUCGCGAGCAAUCCCGAAUUCUCGAUUCCGCGAUCUCGACCCUGCAACCCUAGAUUCCCCGAUCUCGCGCGCACCCCUAGUUUCCGCGAUCUCGCGCGCAACCCUAGCUUUCCAUCCGCUGCCAUGGCCUCAAUCGAGCCCAUGGCCCCGCGCGCUAACACCACCUGGUAUCUCGUCGACGACGACGACCUUGUCGAGGUCGCGAGGCGGCGGGACGCCGUCGCCAAGAGGGCCCGGGACGAGGACCUUCGCGAGGAGGCUGACGCCCGUGGAUGGUCUUCCGCGAUCCCGGACCGCAGCCUCCCCCUGCGCCGCCGCCGCGGUUCGGUUUCGCCCUCUUUCGCUCGCGCCACCACCUCCGUGGCUGUCGCCGAGGAGCAGAUCUGCUCCCGUGAAGUGGCGUCCUCGACCAUGAUCCACAGCAAAAGCGAAGCCCAGGGUAUCGCCACGGUUUGUGCCGAAACCUAUUUCUUGACCGUCCUGUAAUGGAUGGUCGACUGCAAUUGUGUCUUUGACCGUAGUAUCUGUGGACGAUUAGGCUCCCAAUUUAGUACAUGUUCUGGAUGAUUAGACUCCCUACCUGUGCACGAUUUGGUUCUCUGCUUAGUAGUACAUGUCGACGAGUAGUUUCUCUACUUAGUACCUGUGGACGAUUAGGGUUGCUGGUUAGUCCUAUAUCUGCCACAUAGGAAUUGGGAUUUGAAAGGGAGUUUUUUUAGAGCCUUAAUUGUUUAAAAUUUGGAUAUUGAUAAAAAAAUUGGACCAAAAACUCAAAAAAAAUGAUAAAAAGUUGGACAUUAACAAAAAAAAGGACAAAAAACUCAAUUUUUUUUUUGAUAAAAACUUGGACAUUGCAUUUUCCAUAUAUCUUGAAAGUACUUUGCUAACUUGAACUAUAGCCACACAAGCUAGAAGGAUUGUUGGAUUGAACCUUGUCAAAAGUUAUGUUCUUGCCAAACUGGUGGUCUAUUUUCAACGUAUGCUUUUAGCUGAAGUUUAGUUCCUAUAGAGCAUCUAGUAACAUGAAUAUGAAAUCAUUAACUAAUUAAUAAACAGAUAUGAGUUUUCUUCACUUCUCAGCAGCUUUUAUGGGCUUAAAUUCAGGCUUUGAUCAUGUCUCCUGAACAAUUUAAUUACAUUGUAGCAGUUAUCCAUUAGUCAAUUGUUUGAAUGCUGAAAAUACACGGUUUGUGCCGAAACCUAUUUCUUGACCGUCCUGUAAUCGCCGGUCGACUGCAAUUGUGUGUUUGACCGUAGUAUCUGUGCACGAUUAGGCUCCCAAUUUAGUACAUGUUCUGGAUGAUUAGACUCCCUACCUGUGCACGAUUUGGUUCUCUCCUUAGUACAUGUCAACGAGUAGUCUCUAUACUUAGUACCUGUGGACGAUUAAUUUGGCUCUCUACUUAGUACCUCUGGACGUUUAGGGUUGUUGGUUAGUAGUAUAUCUGCCUCAUAGGAAUUGGGAUUUGAAAGGGAGUUUUUUUUAGAGCCUUAAUUGAUUAAAAAAUGGAUAUUGAUAGAAAAAAUUGGACAAAAGACUCAAAAACAAGUUGAUAAAAAAUUGGACAUUGCACUUUCCAUAUAUCUUGAAAGGACUUUGCUAACUUGAACUAUAGCCAAGCUAGAAGGAUUGUUGGAUUGAACUUCACUUGUCAAAAGUUAUGUUCUUGCCAACUGCUGGUCUAUUUUCAACGUAUGCUUUUAGCUGAAGUUUAAUUCCUAUAGAGCAUCUAGUAACACGAAUAUGAAAUCGUUAACUAACUAAUAAACGGAUAUGAGUUUUCUUCACGUCUCAGCAGAUUUUAUAGAGCAUCUACUUAGUACCUCUGCACGAUUAGGGUUGUUGGUUAGUAGUAUAUCUGCCACAUAGGAACUGGGAUUUGAAAGGGAGUUUCUUUAGAGCCUUAAUUGCUAAAAAAUUGGACAAAAAUCUAAUUUUUUUUGAUAAAAUAUUGGACAUUGCAUUUUACAUAUAUAUUAUAUAUAUCUUGAAGGGACUUUGCUUACUUGAACUAUAGCCAAGCUAGAAGGAUAGUUGUAUUGAACUUCAUUUGUCAAAAGUUAUGUUCUUGCCAAACUUGCCGGUCUAUUUUCAAUGUAUGCUUUUAGCUGAAGUUUAGUUCCUAUAGAGCAUCUGGUAACAUGAAUAUGAAAUCGUUAAUUAAUUAAUAAAUGGAUAUGUGUUUUGUUCACUUCUUGGCAGCUUUUAUGGGGUGAAAUUCAGGCUUUGACCAUGCCUCCCGAACAUUUGAAGUACACUGUAGCAAGUUCUCCAUUAGGCAAUUAUUUGAAUGCUGAAAUUACAUGGUUACUAUUUACUGCCAGCCUGCCACUUAUGUUCACCUGCAAAUAAGAAGUUUGGUCUUUUUUUGCUGAAGCCAGGUGCGCACCAGUUAAUAGUUGAACAAAAUAUACCUGAAUAACUGCUUUUGUUGCUUUGUGGCAGUCUUUCCGCUGAAAAUGAUACUUUGUGUGCGUGCUUAAUCACUAUUUAUCUUUACAUUUGGCACUCAUUAUACAAUUUUAGAUUAUGUAAAUUUUGCUGUUCUUCCAAGUUCAUGUGUCCUGUCUGGAUUUUGUGAAUGAUUCUCAUUUCUUGGGAUCAAAGUUACAUUGCUCUGCUCCAAAUCUUUAAGUCGUUUAUCUUAAUUGAUUAUUCUGAUUGUCUUCUUUGCAGGAUCAUGUGCUGUAUGCAUUCUUUAAGACACUCUGUCUACUCCAUCCUGUCUCGCAGCUUCUUUUGUUACUUUGUAGCAGUCAUUUUGUGGAAAUGCAUAUUUGAUGCUUCUGCUAAUCACCGUUUAUCUUCAUGUUUGGCUCUCAUUUAUGGUGUUCUCUUUAAUUACUCAAUUAUAUCUGUUAUGGCAAGUUUGUGCGUUAUGGUUGGGUGAUGUGUAUGAUUCUCAGUUUUUACUAUUAAAAAGGGAGAAGCUGAGACCCCAAGAAGGAUCACGCGGUGCUCUUCUGUGUGCUAAUGCUUUGAGACACCCUGUUUACUCCAACCCUGUCGUAGUACCAUUUGUUUGAAGAUGCGGUAUAUUGAUUAUAUUCUGUCUUUUUCGUAGUUAGUUACCAAACAUGGUGAUCGGCUUUUGGUACAGAAGCCAUUGAAGAUUGAUCGUGGCUUCAGAGGAAUUCUCCAAGUUGCAAGAGAUUGGACACAAAGGAGGAGCCAGUUCAAGAGUUGCGGCUGCACCUCCAUGAUAAGACCAUAGGAGGCCAAUCUGGCCUGUGCCGAGGCAAGACAGUGGGCGGAUGCGGGGGCCUGUGGCCUUCGCCAACUACUCCCCUAGAUUAGGUCUUUUUGGGUCGAGUUGUAUGGCGUGGUGUUUGUCCUUCUAUGAACUUGUACAUAUAACCUUCCUUUUCUAUCAAUGCAUCGAAACGCAAGGCUUUUGCGUUUUUGCGAAAA